AAUAUUGGACAAUGGGCGAAAGUCUGAUCCAGCCAUGCCGCGUGUGUGAAGAAGGUCUUCGGAUUGUAAAGCUCUUUAAGUUGGGGGGAAGGGAAGUAAGUUUAUACCUUGUUGUUUUGACGUUACCGAAAGAAUAAGCACCGGCUAACGUCGUCCUCGCCGCAGCGGUAAUACGAAGGGUGCAAUCGUUAAUCGGAAUUACUGGGCGUAAAGCGCGCGUAGGUGGUUUGAUGAGUUUGAUGUGAAAGCCCCGGGCUCAACCUAGAAAUUGCAUCCAAAACUGUCUGGCUAGAGUAUGGCCGAGGGUGGUGGAAUUUCCUGUGUAGCGGUGAAAUGCGUAGAUAUAGGAAGGAACACCAGUGGCGAAGGCGACCACCUGGGCUAAUACUGACACUGAGGUGCGAAAGCGUGGGGAGCAAACAGG
rnacentral:rRNA from 1 species